AGAGUUUGAUCCUGGCUCAGAAUGAACGCCAGCAAUAUACUUAACACAUGCUAGUUGAAUGCUUUUGAAAAAUGGCAUAGCGCACGGGUGAGUAAUAUAUGAGAAUUUACCUUAGUUUAAAAUACAAUCAUAGUUUUAAAAACGAAUGCCAAAAGCAGUGAUAAAAUUUUAUAAAAAGUAAUAUUUGCUGAAUUAAGAUAAGCUCAUAUAGGAUUAGGUAGUUGGUUAGGUAAAAGCUUACCAAGCCGUAGAUCCUUAGUUGAUCUGGGAGGAUGGUCAGCCACACUGGGACUGAGAUAAGGCCCAGGCAUAUUUGCCAGCAGUGAGGAAUUUUGGACAAUGGGCGAAAGCUUGAUCCAGUAAUAUUGCGUGAAUGAGGAAAGCAAAAAAGAUUAUUUUAUGUAAAAAUUUAAUAAUUGGCUGUAAAAUUAUUUCACUAAUGAGGAUAAUGACUGUAGUUAGGAAAGAAGCCCCGGCUAAUCUCGUGCCAGCAGCCGCGGUAAGACGAGAGGGGCAAGCGUUAUUCGGAAUAAUUGGGCGUAAAGGGUUUGUAGGCGGUAAUUGUGGUUAUUAGUAAAAGUUUAAAUUUAUAUUUAAAAAGCCUAAUAAUACUCUUUUGCUAGAGUGAAGGAGAGGGUAGUAGAAUUUCAUACAUAGGAGUAAAAUCCAAUAAUUUAUGAAGGAAUGCCAGUGGCGAAAGCGACUACCUAGACUUAUACUGACGCUGAGGAACGAAAGCAUAGGGAGCAAACAGGAUUAGAUACCCUGGUAGUCC
rnacentral:rRNA from 1 species